ACAGCAGCCGCCGCGGUAAUACAGAGGGUGCAAGCGUUAAUCGGAAUUACUGGGCGUAAAGCGCGCGUAGGUGGUUCGCCAAGUUGGAUGUGAAAUCCCCGGGCUCAACCUGGGAACUGCAUCCAAAACUGGCGAGCUAGAGUAUGGUAGAGGGUGGUGGAAUUUCCUGUGUAGCGGUGAAAUGCGUAGAUAUAGGAAGGAACAUCAGUGGCGAAGGCGACCACCUGGACUGAUACUGACACUGAGGUGCGAAAGCGUGGGGAGCAAACAGGAUUAGAUACCCCUGUAGUCCCUGUCUCUUAUAC
rnacentral:rRNA from 1 species